AUUGAACGCUGGCGGCAUGCUUUACACAUGCAAGUCGAACGGCAGCACGGGGGCAACCCUGGUGGCGAGUGGCGAACGGGUGAGUAAUGCAUCGGAACAUACCCAGUCGUGGGGGAUAACGUAGCGAAAGUUACGCUAAUACCGCAUACGUCCUGAGGGAGAAAGCGGGGGAUCUUCGGACCUCGCGCGAUUGGAGUGGCCGAUGUCAGAUUAGCUAGUUGGUAGGGUAAAGGCCUACCAAGGCGACGAUCUGUAGCGGGUCUGAGAGGAUGAUCCGCCACACUGAGACUGAGACACGGCCCAGACUCCUACGGGAGGCAGCAGUGGGGAAUUUUGGACAAUGGGGGCAACCCUGAUUCAGCCAUGCCGCGUGCGGGAAGAAGGCCUUCGGGUUGUAAACCGCUUUCUGACGGAAAGAAAUCGUUCUGGCUAAUACCCAGGAUGGAUGACGGUACCGUAAGAAGAAGCACCGGCUAACUACGUGCCAGCCGCCGCAGUAACAC
rnacentral:rRNA from 1 species